GACCUCAAGUCAUGUGAGAGUACCCGCUGAACUUAAGCAUAUCAAUAAGCGGAGGAAAAGAAACUAACAAGGAUUCCCCUAGUAACGGCGAGUGAAGCGGGAAGAGCACAAAUUUAAAAUCUACCUGGUUUCCAGGUCGAGUUGUAAUUUGAAGAAACGUUUUUGACGUUCCGAGUUGGGAUAAAUCCUUUGGGAUGAGGUAUCAUGGAGGGUGAGAAUCCCGUGUAUACCAACCGCAGGGAUGUUAUUUAAUACGUUUUCUAAGAGUCGAGUUGUUUGGGAAUGCAGCUCUAAAUGGGUGGUAAAUUUCACCUAAUGCUAAAUAUAAGCGAGAGACCGAUAGCGAACAAGUACCGUGAGGGAAAGAUGAAAAGAACUUUGAAAAGAGAGUUAAAUAGUACGUGAAAUUGUUGAAAGGGAAACGAUUGAAGUCAGUCAUGCCGGCGGGAAUCAACUUAGGGGAAACUUUAAGUGCACUUCACGUUUGGCAGGUCAGCGUCGAUUUUGGAUAUCAUAAAAUGAUUGGGGGAAGGUAGCUCUUUCGGGAGUGUUAUAGCCCUUGAUAGAUGUGAUGUCUGGGAUCGAGGAUUGCAACGGAUAUCCUUUGGGCUAGCCGCCUGAUCUCUAACUGGUGUUAGGUUACGGACAGCAUGCUGACCGUGAUUUAAUUACUGGUUAAAAGGUUAGAGCGAGUGUAAAUUCGUUAAGGACGCUGACGUAAUGGCUUUAAACGACCCGUCUUGAAACACGGACCAAGGAGUCUAACAUGUGUGCGAGUGUU
rnacentral:rRNA from 1 species